ACAAGCGGUGGAGCAUGUGGUUAAUUCGAAGCAACGCGAAGAACCUUACCAGGUCUUGACAUCCCGAUGCUAUUUCUAGAGAUAGAAAGUUACUUCGGUACAUCGGUGACAGGUGGUGCAUGGUUGUCGCCAGCUCGUGUCGUGAGAUGUUGGGUUAAGUCCCGCAACGAGCGCAACCCCUACGUUUAGUUGCUAACGCGUGAAGGCGAGCACUCUAGACGAACUGCCGUUGACAAAACGGAGGAAGGUGGGGAUGACGUCAAAUCAUCAUGCCCCUUAUGUUCUGGGCUACACACGUGCUACAAUGGCCGGUACAGACGGACGCAAAGCCGCGAGGUGGAGCAAAUCCUAAAAAGCCGGUCUCAGUUCGGAUUGCAGGCUGCAAUUCGCCUGCAUGAAGUCGGAAUCGCUAGUAAUCGCAGGUCAGCAUACUGCGGUGAAUACGUUCCCGGGCCUU
rnacentral:rRNA from 1 species